UUAAAUUGAAGAGUUUGAUCAUGGCUCAGAUUGAACGCUGGCGGCAGGCCUAACACAUGCAAGUCGAACGGUAACAGGAAGCAGCUUGCUGCUUCGCUGACGAGUGGCGGACGGGUGAGUAAUGUCUGGGAAACUGCCUGAUGGAGGGGGAUAACUACUGGAAACGGUAGCUAAUACCGCAUAACGUCGCAAGACCAAAGAGGGGGACCUUCGGGCCUCUUGCCAUCGGAUGUGCCCAGAUGGGAUUAGCUAGUAGGUGGGGUAACGGCUCACCUAGGCGACGAUCCCUAGCUGGUCUGAGAGGAUGACCAGCCACACU
rnacentral:rRNA from 1 species